AACGAACGCUGGCGGCAGGCUUAACACAUGCAAGUCGAGCGCCCCGCAAGGGGAGCGGCAGACGGGUGAGUAACGCGUGGGAAUCUACACAACUCUCCGGAAUAACUCAGUGAAACUUGUGCUAAUACCGUAUACGCCCUUCGGGGGAAAGAUUUAUCGGAGUUGGAUGAGCCCGCGUUGGAUUAGCUAGUUGGUGGGGUAAAGGCCGACCAAGGCGACGAUCCAUGGCUGGUCUGAGAGGAUGAACAGCCACACUGGGACUGAGACACGGCCCAGACUCCUACGGGAGGAAGCAGUGGGGAGUAUUGGACGAUGGGCGAAAGCCUGAUCCAGCCAUGCCGCGUGGGUGAUGAAGGCCCUAGGGUUGUAAAGCUCUUUCACCGGUGAAGAUAAUGACGGUAACCGGAGAAGAAGCCCCGGCUAACUUCGUGCCAGCAGCCGCCGUAACAC
rnacentral:rRNA from 1 species